GACGAGCCACACGAACGUUAUUCGGAAUUACUGGGCUUAAAGGGUGCGUAGGCGGUGCGGAAAGUUGGGUGUGAAAUACCUCGGCUCAACCGAGGAACUGCGCCCAAAACUACCGCACUCGAGGAAGAUAGAGGUGAGCGGAACUUACGGUGGAGCGGUGAAAUGCGUUGAUAUCGUAAGGAACACCCGUGGCGAAAGCGGCUCACUGGGUCUUCUCUGACGCUGAUGCACGAAAGCUAGGGGAGCAAACGGG
rnacentral:rRNA from 1 species